rnacentral:rRNA from 1 species
UACGAGAGCCCCGAGCGUUAUCCGGAAUUACUGGGCGUAAAGGGCUCGUAGGCGGCCAACUAAGUCAGACGUGAAAUCCCUCGGCUUAACCGGGGAACUGCGUCUGAUACUGGAUGGCUUGAGUUCGGGAGAGGGAUGCGGAAUUCCAGGUGUAGCGGUGAAAUGCGUAGAUAUCUGGAGGAACACCGGUGGCGAAGGCGGCAUCCUGGACCGACACUGACACUGAGGAGCGAAAGCCAGGGGAGCAAACGGG